rnacentral:rRNA from 1 species
UACGUAGGGUGCGAGCGUUGUCCGGAGUUAUUGGGCGUAAAGGGCUCGUAGGCGGUCUGUCACGUCGGGAGUGAAAACACGGGGCUUAACCCCGUGCCUGCUUCCGAUACGGGCAGACUAGAGGUAUGCAGGGGAGAACGGAAUUCCUGGUGUAGCGGUGAAAUGCGCAGAUAUCAGGAGGAACACCGGUGGCGAAGGCGGUUCUCUGGGCAUUACCUGACGCUGAGGAGCGAAAGUGUGGGGAGCGAACAGG